rnacentral:rRNA from 1 species
UACGGAGGGUGCGAGCGUUGUCCGGAAUCACUGGGCGUAAAGGGCGCGUAGGCGGCUCAUGAAGGCUGUGGUGAAAGUCCGGGGCUCAACCUCGGAUCGGCCGUGGCGACUCGUGGGCUGGAGCACUGUAGAGGCGGGUGGAAUUCCGGGUGUAGCGGUGGAAUGCGUAGAGAUCCGGAAGAACACCAGUGGCGAAGGCGGUCUGCUGGGCAGUUGCUGACACUGAGGCGCGACAGCGUGGGGAGCAAACAGG